rnacentral:RNase_P_RNA from 1 species
UUGGUUGGUCGCUGAAAGUGCAAAUCUUUCAGAGGAAAGUCCGGGCUUCAUUGUAAGCAAGGUGCCGGAUAACGUCCGGCGUUGCGGAGCGAGAGGUCUGCAAUAGGGCUAGUGCAACAGAAAGUAUACCGCCUUGGAGCCUUAAAAGGUUUUAAGGUAAGGGUGAAAUGGUGAUGGUAAGAGCUCACCGCGUUGCUGGUAACAGUAAUGGCAUUGUAAACCCCACCUGAAGCAAGACCAAAUAGGGAUGACGCGAAUACCUUUCGUGAUCGCUUACAGUCACAGUCAUCCGGGUAGGUUGCUUGAGCUUGUUGGUAACGGCAAGUCUAGAUGAAUGACCAAACAGAGGGUAUAAUAUCCUUGGACAGAACCCGGCUUAUAGGUUGC